CUAUACACAUAAUAUUAUACCUUUUGGUCUGUAUGGAUUCGAUUUCAACAAUUUUACCGCAUUGGGCAUUACGUAGGUAUAUAAUUGAAUUACCGGAAGCCUGAGACUCAAGUCCUGAUUAAUUUAAUUAAGAUUUAGUUACGGUCACAAUAAUUUCAUAGAUACCUACAUGUUUUGUUCUUUCCAACAAUAACUAACGAACUGACACUUCGGUCUUACUACAAUCGGGUUAUCAUCAUUUGUUGUCAGAUAAAUUACUAUCAUUAAUACAUAUUGUGAUAAACUAUUUAUUAUUUUAACCAGAAUAUUUUAUUGUACAAUCUUUAUACUC